GCGGGAGUAAUUUAGUGGCAGAAUAUUGGCUUUCCAAGCCGAAAGCAUAGGUUCGAUUCCUGUCUCCCGCUCCA
rnacentral:tRNA from 1 species